UGUACAAAACCCAGAAAAUGAAAAUAAAUUAGAUAUGAAGGAAGAAAAAGGUCAAAGAUGAGAUCGUAAAACUGUGAUGCAGACUUGCUGAAACUGGAGUUUGGGUCUUAACUGCCCCUCCAAACUCCUCCUCCAGUUUGUGUGAGAGUUUGUCAGGAGACUGGUUUUUGCUCUGCCAUGCCUGGCCACGCCGGGCCCUGUUCUGGUGCUGAAGUCUGGUGUUGGAAGGCUGUGGCACUUGUAGAGUAAGACCCCCGUCUCCCAAUCUUCUUGGUCUCUCUGAGCUGCAAUUUCCUUAUCUGUAGAAUGAGACAAUGACAGAUCUUGGAUCAGUUGAGCAAUUUGUUUCUCAGAUUGUUCAACUGAAGAAUUUAUUCCUAGAUAUUUGUACUAAAACAUACUAAAACUAAAGUGAGAACAUCAUAUUAGUUAACAGGAAAUUGUUCUGACAUAUGCAGUAAAAGGGAAUUGAAAGCAUUCUUUCCAAAUUUCCACACAUUCAGCCAAAAUCCAAGUCUGCCAUCUUGUGAUGAACGCCUCCCAUGGUCAUGCACUUUGCUUAGUGUUUGUUCCCAUAGGCGUUGACAUUUUGGGUGUGUAUGCCAAGAGGUGACAAGAAACAGAAAUUGGGAUCACUGUGGCUAACCUGAGCAUGUUGGAAACCAAGGAGAGGCUGAUGUUAAUGUUGGAUUUUUGUGACAAAAGAUUCCUUUCAAAGAAAGACCUGUGACAAUUGGUAAUUACAGCUAAUGUGUUUCCACCAACAGCCAUUUUGCAUUGGCAUCACACCAUCCACCAUCAGCGUUGCUGACAGGAGCAGUGUUCAGGAGCCGUGGACAGUGGAUUGCGCUGCUUCAGGAGCCUGGUGACUGGGAGGUUUGCAGGCUGCCAGGGGCCUCAGCUGAAGACCUGGAUCCACAGGACCCACAGAGGUCUGUGCCCUGCUGUGGGGCUGGGUCUGCACAGAAGCAGAGGAAGUGAUACUGGAAAACAUACCAAGGCACCUUCAUCUUGACGAGCCAGGUCCCGGAGGACAGCAACACACCCAGAGGCCCUGCUUUUCUAAUUCACACAAAGGUGCCUGUGGCUGCCACAGUCAACUCUGGGGCUCCCUUUGUUGUGAACAACUGUCUUACAAAUGCCAAUGCUGGUUGUAGGGGGACCUAGCUGAGAGCGUGGGAAGCUUCCACAUGGGCCAUCUUCAUUUUCAAACCUAACGGAGCAACCGGAGUCGAGGAAUCUACUCUUCUACUGCCACCAAGUCUGUGGUCUUCUUGUUAUUCAGAAGUAGGUGUGCAGAAUAAACCUGCAUGAGCUGUGACUUGCCUGGUAGAUAAGUCCUGAGGUCCAACUUGUGUCUUUGGUUUGAUGACUUCAGUGUCAUGCACUUUCCUGAGUCUAUGAAAAUGAUCUUGACAAGUCCCCAGGUCAUAUUGCUCAUUCCUUCUGUGGUGGGAGGGACAGUCUUUUUUAUCUGAACGCUGUGGAUGGCGGUUUUAAACUGUAUUCAUCAGAUAUCCACGCUGAAGUGUUUAGGGAUGGUGUACUGAUGUUUGCUUAAAAAAAAAUGAGUAACAGGUAAAUAUUUGAAUACAUAUGUGAUAACACAAGUAAGCAAAUGUUAACUGGAAAAGCUAGGUGAUGGUG
rnacentral:lncRNA from 1 species